rnacentral:rRNA from 1 species
UACGUAGGGUGCAAGCGUUGUCCGGAAUUAUUGGGGGUAAAGAGCUCGUAGGCGGUCUGUUGCGUCGGCUGUGAAAACCCGGGGCUCAACUCCGGGCCUGCAGCCGAUACGGGCAGACUAGAGUUCGGCAGGGGAGACUGGAAUUCCUGGUGUAGCGGUGAAAUGCGCAGAUAUCAGGAGGAACACCGGUGGCGAAGGCGGGUCUCUGGGCCGAUACUGACGCUGAGGAGCGAAAGCGUGGGGAGCGAACAGG